rnacentral:rRNA from 1 species
CUGAGAGUUUGAUCCUGGCUCAGGACGAACGCUGGCGGCGCGCCUAAUGCAUGCAAGUCGAACGGUCCUUCCGGGGCAACCCGGGAGGGGAGUGGCAGACGGCUGAGUAACGCGUAAGCGACCAACCCUCAGGUGGGGGAUAACCCCCAGAAAUGGGGGCUAAUACCGCACGAGGUCUUGGGCCUGCGGGCCCAAGAGCAAAGCCCCGACGCAAGUUGGGGCGCCUGGGGACGGGCUUGCGUCCUAUCAGGUAGUUGGUGGGGUAACGGCCCACCAAGCCUAAGACGGGUAGCCGGUGUGGGAGCACGAUCGGCCAGAGGGGGACUGAGAUACGGCCCCCACUCCUACGGGAGGCAGCAGCAGGGAAUCUUGCGCAAUGGGCUAAGGCCUGACGCAGCGACGCCGCGUGGGGGAAGAAGGCCUGAGGGUCGUAAACCCCUUUUCUGGGGGAAGAGGAAGGACGGUACCCCAGGAAUAAGCCUCGGCUAACUACGUGCCAGCAGCCGCGGUAAUACGUAGGAGGCUAGCGUUGUCCGAAUUUACUGGGCGUAAAGGGCGCGCAGGCGGCGGUCCAAGUUGGCUGUGAAAGCCCCCGGCUCAACUGGGGGAGGUCGGCCAAAACUGGGCGGCUAGAGUGCAGUAGGGGAAGGUGGAAUUCCCGGAGUAGCGGUGAAAUGCGUAGAUAUCGGGAGGAACACCAGUGGCGAAGGCGACCUUCUGGGCUGCAACUGACGCUGAGGCGCGAAAGCGUGGG